UACGGAGGGUGCAAGCGUUAAUCGGAAUUACUGGGCGUAAAGCGUGCGUAGGCGGUUCGUUAAGUCUGUUGUGAAAGCCCCGGGCUCAACCUGGGAAUGGCAAUGGAUACUGGCGAGCUAGAGUGUGUCAGAGGAUGGUGGAAUUCCCGGUGUAGCGGUGAAAUGCGUAGAGAUCGGGAGGAACAUCAGUGGCGAAGGCGGCCAUCUGGGACAACACUGACGCUGAGGCGCGAAAGCUAGGGGAGCAAACAGG
rnacentral:rRNA from 1 species